UGAAUGUAGCUCAGUGGUAGAGUGCUUGCCUAGCAUGCGUGAGAGCCUGGGUUCUAUUCCCAGCACUGCAA
rnacentral:tRNA from 1 species